rnacentral:rRNA from 1 species
GACGAACGCUGGCGGCGUGCUUAACACAUGCAAGUCGAACGGAAAGGCCCUGCUUUUGUGGGGUGCUCGAGUGGCGAACGGGUGAGUAACACGUGAGUAACCUGCCCUUGACUUUGGGAUAACUUCAGGAAACUGGGGCUAAUACCGGAUAGGAGCUCCUGCUGCAUGGUGGGGGUUGGAAAGUUUCGGCGGGUGGGGAUGGACUCGCGGCUUAUCAGCCUGUUGGUGGGGUAGGGGCUUACCAAGGCUUUGACGGGUAGCCGGCCUGAGAGGGUGACCGGCCACAUGGGGACAGAGAGACGGCCCAGACUCCUACGGGAGGCAGAAGUGGGGAAUAUUGCACAAUGGGCGGGAGCGUGAUGCAGAAACGCCGCGUGCGGGAUGACGGCCUUCGGGUUGUAAACCGCUUUCGCCUGUGACGAAGCGUGAGUGACGGUAAUGGGGAAAGAAGCACCGGCUACCUACGU